UAUGACCAUAUCACGACGAAACACCGGUUCUCGUACGAUCACCGAAGUUAAGCAACGUAGAACUUGGUCAGUAACUAGAUGGGUUACCACUUGCAAAUGCCAGGUUCUGUAAG